GGGUAUAGCUCAGUGGUAGAGUGUGAUGCUUAGCACGCAUGAAAUCCUAGGUUCAAUCCCCAGUACCUCCA
rnacentral:tRNA from 1 species